UGAAGAAUGUGGAAAAGCUUUUAUGCAUGGCUCAAUCCUUAUUAAACAUAAAAGAAUUCAUACUGGAAAGAAAUGCUACAGAUAUGAAGAAUGUGGCAAAACCUUUAACCAGAGCUCACAUCUUAUUGGACACAAGAUAAUUCAUACUGGAGAGCAACACGAUAAAUGUGAAAAAUGUGGCAAAGCCUUUAACUGGUUCUCAAACUUUACUAAACUUAAGAGAAUUCAUACUGGAGAGAACCCCUAGAAUUGUAAAGAAUGGGGUAAGUCUUUGACCAAUGCUCAGUCCUUACUGAAUAUAAGAUAAUUCACAUGAUAGAGAACCCCUACAAUUAUAGGGAAUGUAGCAAUAGUUUUAAUUUGUGCUCAACUUUUACUGUAAGUGAAUUCAUUCUGGAGAGAAACCCUACCAAGGUAAAAAAUGUGGCAAAACCAUUAAUGAAUGCUGACAUCACAAUCUACAGCAAUGAUUUCAUCCUAAAUAAAAGUGGUAUUAAUGUAAUGACUGUUGAAGCAUCUUUCACAAAGUAGAACCCUUAAUGUGCACGAGAUUAUUUUAGUGAAGGAAAGCAUUGUAAAUAUAAAGAAAGGCACAAUACCUUACUUAUACCACAGAUUUUAUUGUACACUGGAAAAUUUACACUGAAGGGAAACUCUCCGGGAGUUCCUCAAACUUUCUGUUGGGGAGAAACCCUAUGGAUGUAAUAAAUGUGGAAAAACUUCUGUUCCAUACAUAUACCUUACAAAACACUGGAGAGUUUCUAGUAGAAUAUAUUAUACAGAUUUAGGAACUGUGAAAAAUACAUUAGAAACCAAGCCUAAGUAAACGUUAUAGAUUGACAGUAGAAAGCACCAAGGCAGUAACAAUUUGAGACAUUGCUCUAAUCAGUGUUGAUUAUAGAUAAUAAUUUAAAAUAGGUUGCUUACUUGUGUGUAAGUUUAAAUGGAGAAGGAGAUUGAUUUUCUUUUUGGACAGUUAUAAAUUACAUUCAAAUUAUGCUUUUGGGGAUUGGAAUAAUUACAACUACUUUGAAAAGCAAAUAUUUAUGUGAAGUAAACUCACAAAUUUCUUGAUGUUAUAUUGUCAUUUCUAGUGCUCAUGUGAAAGCAUGUGGUUAAUGGUUUCUGCAUCAGAGCUCGGAGACAUCUGCACCAUUAAUACACUUUUCCCUGGAACACUAAGGACACUUGAAUAUAAGACGCAUGAAGAAAAUCUAGGUGGAGAGGCCCUUUAUAAAAGUGUAGUAAGUGAUUUGUGAGGUAGUUGUUCAGGAUAAUAUGAUUAUGCAUUGUAGGAGAAGAGAAACAUUUUGAAUCUUAGAAGUGAAUUGUUUUACUAGUUACACAUAAAAAUAAUGAAAUACUUUGGAGUUUAAAAUGCUUUUCGACAUAUUAUUUGAACUUAAUUUAUUUUAAUGGAACAAAGUUGUUUUUAAUGUCUUAAGACUAUUUUCCAUGGAAUGAAAUGCAUCUUACCACCAACAUUAACCUAUCCCACCUUAUCCCAUGUUGUAGGUAACUGAUGGUCACAAUAUACUAUUGGAUAGCAUAGUGGAAGGUAACAUAGUACAAUGACAUCUUUUGUAAUCCCUUCUCUCAGUGGAAUAUUGUUACCAGAGGUAAUAUUUUUAUUUUUUUCUUCUUUUUGUAACUAUAGGAUCAUUAUGAUGGUUACAAUAAAGAUUACAUAAGACUAUAAUAAAUUAUAUUCACAUAUUUCUGAAUUCUGAAUAUUUUAAAAUUUUAUUCUUUAUUUUUUCUGAGUGUGCCCACUCUAGUCUGCAAAACACAGAUUUUUGGUUUUGAUUUACAUGGGUUUACAUAUACAAAUAUAUCACUUUAUAGAUAAACUUCAGGUGUAAGAGAUUUGUGGUGAAUGUAGUUAUGUUUGUGUGUAAGUGUGUACCUAUUUUGAGAAGAAAAAUAUCAGAUCAAUACAGAUAAAUUUUAAAAGUGUUGAUAAUUUACUAGGCAGGUCAAAACCUCAAAGAUUCUGAAAACAAAUCUGUUUUCUCUGCUUUGUAUUGAAUUCAUUUAUCUAAAAUCUUAUUUCCCCUUGGCUCAGAAUCUCUUUGGAAAUCCUUUGGUUUUUCUUGCCUGUUUCUUAUGCUGGACCUAGUAUAUAAUUUUCUCAUUCCAAGGUUCAUGUAGUAUUCUUUAUAUGAUGUCCUCUGUGAUUAUAAGAAUGACUUUUAUGAAAUUUAAUAGUGCUCAGAAAAUAACUUUUAGACGUUAGUGUUUCUACAGCGAGUGUUUUUAAGUUACAUUCAUUCUUUUUCUUUUCAUUGGAGAACUCCAUUUAAGCCACUUUUUCUUUUGUGAUUAUUGUUUUUGUAAUUGACAUAAUCAAGUUUAUUGAGCUAAUUUGUUUAUGUAAACAAUAGGAGGCUUCAUACAUCAUGAGGUUGUUUUGGCACAUAAAUGAACAUACGCAGGGCAGUGCUCGCUGUGUAAUAGACGCUCCAUAAUUAGCAGUAAACAUGCAGAGGCCCAGGGACUGUCAUUUGUUCACUGAAUUAUGCCAAGCAUCUAGAAAAGUGACUUUAAACAUUGUGCUGAAAAUAUGUGUCUUUAAUAAACAAACCUCAACAAGAACCUCCUUAGAUAGCUGAGUUGGGUAGGGACUCCUCUUUCAGCAUCCUAGAAAGUUUGUUCAUUCUGUGUCAAGGACAAAAUCCAGCUAGAAAGAAUCUCAAAUGUGGUUUACCAAUGCAAAAACAGCUUUGCUUUUUAUGUGCAUUUUCCAAAUGUUGAGGGACGCAGACCAAUGAGGCAGAGGACUUCUUGGGCAAAAAGACAGAGAAAAAAAAAAA